UACGUAGGUGGCAAGCGUUGUCCGGAUUUACUGGGCGUAAAGAGCGCGCAGGCGGUCGUUCAAGUCGCGUGUGAAAGCCCCCGGCUCAACUGGGGAGGGUCACGCGAUACUGAUCGACUCGAAGGCAGGAGAGGGUAGUGGAAUUCCAGGUGUAGCGGUGAAAUGCGUAGAUAUCUGGAGGAAUACCGGUGGCGAAGGCGGUCUUCUGGACGGUGACUGACGCUGAGGCGCGAAAGCGUGGGGAGCAAACGGG
rnacentral:rRNA from 1 species